rnacentral:rRNA from 1 species
UACGUAGGGGGCAAGCGUUGUCCGGAUUUAUUGGGCGUAAAGAGCGUGUAGGCGGCCAGAAAGGUCGGUUGUGAAAACUGGAGGCUUAACCUCCAGACGUCGACCGAAACCAUCUGGCUAGAGUCCGGAAGAGGAGAAUGGAAUUCCUGGUGUAGCGGUGAAAUGCGCAGAUAUCAGGAAGAACACCCGUGGCUAAGGCGGUUCUCUAGUACGGUACUGACGCUGAGACGCGAAAGCGUGGGGAGCGAACAGG